UCCUGCAGCAUCAUCUCUGAUUUGGGCGCCACAGCCGAAGGGAUGAGCCCCACGUCUCGGUCAGGACGAUGGGAUGAGGAAGCUCCCAGAGUUAAAUUCCAUGAGGACAGGAAGGAUCAGCCUCAGUGGCUGGUGCAGGAGCUGCUGAGACAGAACAGAAGAAGACACACGGUCACGCUCGGAGAUAAGCCGCAAAUCAUCAGGCAGCAGCACCACAGUAUUGAUUUGACUCACAGACUCUGCAGCCUCAAGUUGGAUGAAAUCUCCCUUGACGACCUCCAGAAGCUGAAGCUGGCGUUUGAGGAAUUUGAAGCGGGUGGAUUGAGAUGCAUGGAUGAGAAGAGUUUUGAGCGUGUAGUGAAGACGUGCUUGGGUUUGACUAACUCAAGCAAUGCACACAUUCAAAGCUUAUUUAAGAAGAUUGAUUAUUCAGGCCAAGGAAGGAUUUCAUGGGGUCAGUUCUGCUCCCACAUGCUGCACGAGUACAAACAGAAGGAGGAAAGUAGGAGGCGCAGUAGGCAGGUGGCUCUAGCGCUUCCAGCCACCGUGAAGACGCAGGGCAGCGGCGUUCCCAUCGUCAACAUCCACUCCACGCCUGAUGGCGCCAUAGUAACCAUGAGGGAAGAUGGGGCCAUGUGCUUCUGGAGCCCGGAGCUUAAGCCUCAGAGGACCA
rnacentral:lncRNA from 1 species